rnacentral:rRNA from 1 species
AGAGUUCAAGAGUACGUGAAACCGUUCAGGGGUAAACCUGAGAAACCCAAAAGAUCGAAAGGGGAGAUUCAUCGUCAGCGCAUUUUGUAUAUGUAUCAAUUUAUGAUACGGGUUACUCUUUGUAGUAUUGCCUUGUACAUAUUUGUGCAUUUAGUUGCAAAAUGUUGUCGGCGUGCACUUCUCCCCUAGUAGAACAUCGCGACUCGUUGAGUAUUGGUUUACGAACAGAGUGGGAAGCCUUUAAUUAUCUGCAUUGUAGAUAUUUAAAGACCCUUUGUGUUUUCUAACCAGUUACUCAGCGAUAAAUUUUAUGGUAUUGAGCCGCAUUUAUAUUAAUGUGCGUCCAUAUCCGUCGCAAGCGAGGCUAGUUAAAAUAUUUUUCGGUAGUACGGACCUAGUGCCGUCGCUGAUUCUGGCCAGCUGUUGGCUGUACGGUAAUCUAGGACUGGCUUAAUUAAUACCUGUCAGCGAUGCUAUUGCUUUGGGUACUUUCAGGACCCGUCUUGAAACACGGACCAAGGAGUCUAACAUGUGCGCAAGUCAUUGGGAUUUUUUUUGUAAAAUUAAACCUAAAGGCGUAAUGAAAGUAAAGAUCGACCUUGCGUCGAUUAAGGGAGGAUGAGUUGUUAUUGUAAAAUAUGCAACUUCGCACUCCUGGGGCGUCUCAUUCUCAUUAAGAGAAGAGGCGCACCUAG